AGAGUUUGAUCCUGGCUCAGGAUGAACGCUAGCUACAGGCUUAACACAUGCAAGUCGAGGGGCAUCAGGAAGAAAGCUUGCUUUCUUUGCUGGCGACCGGCGCACGGGUGAGUAACACGUAUCCAACCUGCCGAUGACUCGGGGAUAGCCUUUCGAAAGAAAGAUUAAUACCCGAUGGUAUAUCUGAAAGGCAUCUUUCAGCUAUUAAAGAAUUUCGGUCAUUGAUGGGGAUGCGUUCCAUUAGGUUGUUGGCGGGGUAACGGCCCACCAAGCCAUCGAUGGAUAGGGGUUCUGAGAGGAAGGUCCCCCACAUUGGAACUGAGACACGGUCCAAACUCCUACGGGAGGCAGCAGUGAGGAAUAUUGGUCAAUGGACGAGAGUCUGAACCAGCCAAGUAGCGUGAAGGAUGACUGCCCUAUGGGUUGUAAACUUCUUUUAUACGGGAAUAAAGUGAGCCACGUGUGGCUUUUUGUAUGUACCGUAUGAAUAAGGAUCGGCUAACUCCGUGCCAGCAGCCGCGGUAAUACGGAGGAUCCGAGCGUUAUCCGGAUUUAUUGGGUUUAAAGGGAGCGUAGGCGGGUUGUUAAGUCAGUUGUGAAAGUUUGCGGCUCAACCGUAAAAUUGCAGUUGAUACUGGCGACCUUGAGUGCAACAGAGGUAGGCGGAAUUCGUGGUGUAGCGGUGAAAUGCUUAGAUAUCACGAAGAACUCCGAUUGCGAAGGCAGCUUACUGGAUUGUAACUGACGCUGAUGCUCGAAAGUGUGGGUAUCAAACAGGAUUAGAUACCCUGGUAGUCCACACAGUAAACGAUGAAUACUCGCUGUUGGCGAUAUACGGUCAGCGGCCAAGCGAAAGCAUUAAGUAUUCCACCUGGGGAGUACGCCGGCAACGGUGAAACUCAAAGGAAUUGAC
rnacentral:rRNA from 1 species